GGGUCAAUGGUCUAGUGGUAUGAUUCUCGCUUUGGGUGCGAGAGGCCCUGGGUUCAAUUCCCAGUUGACCCC
rnacentral:tRNA from 1 species